rnacentral:sRNA from 17 species
UAUCGCCGAGCGCAGGCUAAGGGCGCCAAGUCCUGUGGCAACGCCUGCAUGACCUGCAUCCUGUGGG